rnacentral:lncRNA from 1 species
AUGCUGUAGUUCCUGCUUUGGCUGCAAUCCUUCCUGCUUCUGUUUCUGCCUGCAGAAUUUCUCCUUAUGACCAAGCCUUUUGUAGAAGUUGCACCGAACGACUUUCUUUCCCUUGUACCAGCACUCAUUUUUAGGGUGAUUUGUCAAGGAACAAAUGCUGCAUUGAGGAUAUUUCUUUUGCUUACUGGAAUUUUGAGUUCCAGUUUGAUUCCCUUCACUCUUUCUCCCUUGAUGCUAUGUUG